ACACCCUCAAGCCCUGCUUGGUGUUGGGUGCCUGUCCCGCCCCCGCGCGCGGACUCACCCCAAAUGCAUUGGCGGCGGCCCCUUGCCCCCCUCCCGCGCAGCACAUUGCGCUUCUCGAGGCGGCCAGCGGCCCGCGUCCACGAAGCCGACAACCCGU
rnacentral:misc_RNA from 1 species